rnacentral:rRNA from 1 species
GAUCCGGCUCAGGAUGAACGCUAGCGACAGGCUUAACACAUGCAAGUCGAGGGGCAGCGAGGGAGUGGCAACACUUCUGUCGGCGACCGGCGCACGGGUGAGUAACGCGUAUGCAACCUGCCCUUCACAGGGGGAUAACCGGGAGAAAUUCCGACUAAUACCGCAUACGUCCUCCGGGGGCAUCCCCGGGGGAUGAAAGAAUUAUCGGUGAAGGAUGGGCAUGCGUGAUAUUAGGUAGUUGGCGGGGCAACGG